rnacentral:rRNA from 1 species
AUCCUGGCUCAGGACGAACGCUGGCGGCGUGCCUAAUACAUGCAAGUCGAGCGGACAGAUGGGAGCUUGCUCCCUGAUGUUAGCGGCGGACGGGUGAGUAACACGUGGGUAACCUGCCUGUAAGACUGGGAUAACUCCGGGAAACCGGGGCUAAUACCGGAUGGUUGUUUGAACCGCAUGGUUCAAACAUAAAAGGUGGCUUCGGCUACCACUUACAGAUGGACCCGCGGCGCAUUAGCUAGUUGGUGAGGUAACGGCUCACCAAGGCAACGAUGCGUAGCCGACCUGAGAGGGUGAUCGGCCACACUGGGACUGAGACACGGCCCAGACUCCUACGGGAGGCAGCAGUAGGGAAUCUUCCGCAAUGGACGAAAGUCUGACGGAGCAACGCCGCGUGAGUGAUGAAGGUUUUCGGAUCGUAAAGCUCUGUUGUUAGGGAAGAACAAGUACCGUUCGAAUAGGG